CGCCGACUCGUAGUUGUAGUUCUUUCCGGACGAGAGAGGAUCAUAAUGAUGACUGAGGAAAACAAUGGAAAUUCGACAAUGGAAGCGGUCCAAAGUCUUAUAAAAAAGAAAGACAACAUUGAAGAACAAAUUAAAGCUUACUACGACGUUUUGGAAGAUCAAGGCGUUGGAAUGGAAGGCCCUCUAGUUGAUGCAGAGGGCUUCCCUCGCGCAGAUGUUAAUGUGUACCAGAUCAGAACAGCAAGGCACAGUAUUUCUUGUCUACAGAAUGAUCACAAAGCCAUCAUGGUGGAAAUUGAGGAGGCCCUGCACAGGCUGCAUGCUCGAGAGAAGGCAAAGCGGGACCAGGACCAGGCAGAGUCCAUGGAGCAGGAGGUCACCCUGCCCUCUCCCUUCGCCCGUGUGGAUGCUGUCUCACAAGGCUCCCCUGCCUGUCAGGCUGGCCUGCGAGUUAAUGAUGAAAUCAUAGCGUUUGGAUCCGUCAACACAAGGACCUUCCAGAACCUGCAGAAUAUUGCCUCGGUGGUUCAGCAUAGUGAAGGGGUGUGUUAGUCUGAUCAGAAUAAUAAACCAUUAAGCGUUACAGUGAUUCGAAAUGGCCAGAAAACCCAAAUGGGCCUUACCCCACAGCAGUGGUCAGGGAGAGGUUUACUGGGAUGCAACAUUGUGCCCAUCCAAAAAUUAUAAGGACAAUGUGACCAGCAGGAGGAUCAGGAUCAUAAAGAUCUUCGGGUCAACCUUACCACUAGCUCUGCUUUGGUAUGCCACUGGGUGGCUGUGAGUUAAUUACAUGUUUGAGCCCAUAGAUUAGAAGACUUCCAUUUUCAACUGAUUUAAUGUCAAUUUCAUGUUCUAAUAAAAGUAUUGUUUAAGGUUA